rnacentral:rRNA from 1 species
AACGAACGCUGGCGGCAUGCUUAACACAUGCAAGUCGAACGGGAACUUCCGGUCUUGUUGCGCACCGGUGCGUACGGCCUGGUAAGUUACCCGUAGGUUCCCAAUAACUGACUGUAAGGGAUCUUAAUACCGGUUAAUGUCUUACGACCUAAGAUUUAUGGCGUUUGGGUGGGGGCGGGUUAGUUUCGCCAGUUGGUAGUGUAAAAGCCUACCAUCGCGACGUUGCAUGGCUGGUCGGAGAGGAUGAUCAGCCACACUGGGACUGAGACACGGCCCAGACUGCUACGCGAGGCAGCAGAGGGGAAUAUAGGACAAUGGGCGAAGGCCUGAUCCAGCAAUGCCGGGUAAGUGAUGAAGGGCGUAGGGUUGUAAAGCUCUUUUACCCGGGAUGAUAAUGACGGUACCGGGAGAAUAAGCUCCGGCUAACUACGUG